GUGUCAAGAAAGGAAUAUGAUUGUUAACAACCACUCUACUCAUAGGGGCCCAGUGUGCAAUGGCUGCAAACAGCAGCUUCCUUGGUAGUGUAUGCAGCCUGUUUCUUGUAUGGGUUGCUCUAAGGGACCUUGGAGACAGGG
ensembl:snoRNA SNORA70 Small nucleolar RNA SNORA70